rnacentral:rRNA from 1 species
UACGGAGGGGGCUAGCGUUGUUCGGAAUUACUGAGCGUAAAGCGCACGUAGGCGGCUUUGUAAGUUAGAGGUGAAAGCCCGGGGCUCAACUCCGGAAUUGCCUUUAAAACUGCAUCGCUCGAAUUGUGGAGAGGUAAGUGGAAUUCCGAGUGUAGAGGUGAAAUUCGUAGAUAUUCGGAAGAACACCAGUGGCGAAGGCGACUUACUGGACACAUAUUGACGCUGAGGUGCGAAAGCGUGGGGAGCAAACAGG